rnacentral:lncRNA from 1 species
AGCUCAAGGGUGGUUUAGAGCAGGAGGAGGAUGCUAACGCUGGUGGCUCUUCCCUCCCGGCGUGCGGAGCCUGCUUCAGGUAGGUUUGAAGCAGCUGGUGAUAUAUUUUGGAUGAGGUCGGGCUCUCCUUCUCACCGCAGGUGCUGCCGGCUCCGUGCCUGCUGCUACGCCAGGCUGGCUGCACGGCGAUGCCGCCUGGGACCGAUCCAGCCCAUCUCGGUGCCCGGGGCAGGAAUCCCCACCUGCAGGUCCGGGACCUGGUGCCAGCGAGGUGCCUGCAGAUGCGAGCGGGCAGCCCAGCUCUGCCGGCUGCGUGGCCGGGGGAUGCCCCGGCGUCGCAGCAAGUGCCGGGGACGAGCCGGGCGGUGUUGAAGCAAAAGGGCUUUUUUUUAUAUAUAUAUAUAUAAUUUUUUUUUGCAAAACCACCUCCAAGCUGGGUAAGAAAAGGGACGGAGGAGCAUUUCCCAACCCUGGCAGGUCUCCUCCUCGGGGCUUUUUUGGCUUCGGCAUGAGGACAACAACCCUCUGGUGAAGUUGCGUCACUGUACACUGGAUCCGAGGAGGGAGAGCGGCGCAGAUGCAAUGUUUCAGCACAGAAAAACAAGGGAGGGGUGGCCACCUGCGCCUCAUCCCGGCAAAGAGCGAGGUGGAAACCAGCGCGAGCCUCUCCGCUGACACUCAUUUCCCCUUGGCUCCAGCUCCCCGUGCAGCCUGUCAGCUCCCUCUGCUUUUUGCUUCGCUGCAAAUUCUCUUCCGUUGCUCCAAAAUAAAACCAGAGAGCACAAAACA